CGGCGUGCCUAAUACAUGCAAGUCGAACGGUCUUUCUAUGGAAGCUUGCUUCCACUGAGAAGAUAGUGGCGAACGGGUGAGUAACACGUGGGUAACCCUGCCCAUAAGAGGGGGAUAACAUCCGGAAACGGGUGCUAAUACCGCAUAGUUUUCUUGAUCGCAUGAUUGAGAAAGGAAAGAUGGCCUUUGUGCUGUCGCUUAUGGAUGGACCCGCGGCGUAUUAGUUAGUUGGUGAGGUAACGGCUCACCAAGACGAUGAUACGUAGCCGACCUGAGAGGGUGAUCGGCCACAUUGGGACUGAGACACGGCCCAAACUCCUACGGGAGGCAGCAGUAGGGAAUCUUCCGCAAUGGACGAAAGUCUGACGGAGCAACGCCGCGUGAGUGAAGAAAGGUUUUCGGAUCGUAAAACUCUGUUGUCAGAGAAGAACAAGUUGGAGAGUAACUGCUCCAGCCUUGACGGUAUCUGACCAGAAAGCCACGGCUAACUACGUGCCAGCCGCAGC
rnacentral:rRNA from 1 species